GGGAUUGUAGUUCAAUCGGUUAGAGCAUCGCCCUGUCAAGGCAGAAGAUGCGGGGCGAGUCCCAUCAUUUUUG
rnacentral:tRNA from 1 species